rnacentral:rRNA from 1 species
CCUACGGGAGGCAGCAGUGGGGAAUAUUGGACAAUGGGGGCAACCCUGAUCCAGCCAUGCCGCGUGUGUGAAGAAGGCCCUCGGGUUGUAAAGCACUUUCAGUGAGGAAGAACGCCUGGUGGUUAAUACCCAUCAGGAAAGACAUCACUCACAGAAGAAGCACCGGCUAACUCCGUGCCAGCAGCCGCGGUAAUACGGAGGGUGCGAGCGUUAAUCGGAAUUACUGGGCGUAAAGCGCGCGUAGGUGGCUUGAUAAGCCGGUUGUGAAAGCCCCGGGCUCAACCUGGGAACGGCAUCCGGAACUGUCAAGCUAGAGUGCAGGAGAGGAAGGUAGAAUUCCCGGUGUAGCGGUGAAAUGCGUAGAGAGCGGGAGGAAUACCAGUGGCGAAGGCGGCCUUCUGGACUGACACUGACACUGAGGUGCGAAAGCGUGGGUAGCAAACAGGAUUAGAUACCCGAGUAGUC